GUCCUGUUUCACUGGGAAGCCGUCCGCGGCCCCCACCCCUCCCGCCUGGCUCGGGCGCCAGGAGAAGCGGACAUUUUAGCCUCCUCUGCAAUCCGCUCUCUCGUUCGUGUCCUUCUCCCCCCUCUCGUCCGCUGCAAUGCCGGGAUUUUAAAUAGCAGAGAUGAAAGGCCCCUGCCCCCGCCUCCCUCCUCCCCUGAGUUCAUGUAUUAUGAAUGAAACGGCAGCCUCGCUGCUUCCUGAGGUGCUCCACUUCAGGCUGGGGUGCAAUGGCUCGAUCUCGGCUCAGUGCAACCUCUGCUUCCCGGGUUCAAGUGAUUCUCCUGCGUCAGCCUCCCAAGCAGCUGUGAAUACAGGUUGGAGUGCAGUGGUGCUGUGUCUGGAGUUUGUUCCUGCCGUUGGGUUUGUGGUCUUGCUGACUUCAAGAAUGAAGCCACGGACCUUCACGAGAAAUAUUACGUUGUAUGGAUGUACCACUGUUUGUUUAUCCAUUCUUCAGGUGAAGGACAUGUGGGUUGUGCCCAGCGCGGGCUGAAUAAAGCCAUCAUAAUGUGAAGAAGCCGAAGCAGCCUGUGAAGAGGCGCUAGUGGAAAGGAACUCAGGUGCCCCUGCCCUCAGUCCCAGCUGAACUCUCAGCUGACAGCCAUCACCAACUUGCCAGCCACAGGAGUGAGCCAACUUGAGAGUGGAUCUUUCAGUCCCAGUGGAGCCAUCUCAGCUGACACACCAUGGUAAAAAGAUGAACCAUCCUUGCUGAUCCUUGCCAGUGCUGCAGAUACAUAAGCAAAAUAAAUGUUUUUGUUGUUUUAAGCCACU
rnacentral:lncRNA from 10 species